rnacentral:misc_RNA from 1 species
GAUGAAGAACGCAGCGAAAUGCGAUAAGUAAUGCGAAUUGCAGAAUUCAGUGAGUCAUCGAAUCUUUGAACGCACAUUGCGCCCUGUGGUAUUCCGCAGGGCAUGCCUGUUCGAGCGUCAUUUCAACCCUCAAGCCCCGCUUGGUGUUGGGCCCCGCCCGCCGUGGCCGGCCCUAAAGACAGUGGCGGCACCGCCUGGCCCUCAGCGUAGUACAGCUCUCGCUCCAGGGUCCGGCGGCCGCCUGCCAGAACCCCCCCAACUCUGUGGUUGACCUCGGAUCAGGUAGGGAUACCCGCUGAACUUAAGCAUAUCAAUAAGCGGAGGA